rnacentral:rRNA from 1 species
UACAGAGGUCUCAAGCGUUGUUCGGAUUCAUUGGGCGUAAAGGGUGCGUAGGUGGCGCGCUAAGUCAGGUGUGAAAUUUCGGAGCUUAACUCCGAAACUGCAUUUGAUACUGGCGUGCUUGAGGACUGGAGAGGAGACUGGAAUUCAUGGUGUAGCAGUGAAAUGCGUAGAGAUCAUGAGGAACACCAGUGGCGAAGGCGACUCUCUGGCCUGUAACUGACACUGAGGCGCGAAAGCGUGGGGAGCGAACAGG